CGUCUAUACGGCCAGCAGCACAUCGCAUGAAUGAUACUAACAUGUCGAUACAGUACAACUCUUGCCACACCAAAGAUUCUUCCACUUACCCACAUCCCACAGGUGUUUGCUUUCCCUUUUACUUCAUGUAAUGAUUUUUUGCUUUUCUUUUGUCUUAAGAUGAGUUUGCAGUUGCCGAGUACAAUGCUCCUUGUAGCAAAGAUCAUGGAAAUGCUUGAUGUCCACAUGAACAAAUGCUUUGCUGGAGUCCUUGUUCUCAGGACCCCAUGGAAGAUAAAUGGUUUUGUACUUUCAAAGACUUGAUAAAUAAACCUUUUUUUUUUCUGGUCAGUCUC